GAUCCUGGCUCAGGAUGAACGCUAGCUACAGGCUUAACACAUGCAAGUCGAGGGGCAGCAUUUUUCUAGCAAUAGAAGAGAUGGCGACCGGCGCACGGGUGAGUAACACGUAUCCAACCUACCGAUAACUCCGGAAUAGCCUUUCGAAAGAAAGAUUAAUACCGGAUAGUAUACGAAUAUCGCAUGAUAUUUUUAUUAAAGAAUUUCGGUUAUCGAUGGGGGUGCGUUCCAUUAGUUUGUUGGCGGGGUAACGG
rnacentral:rRNA from 1 species